GGAAUCUUGCGCAAUGGGCGAAAGCCUGACGCAGCGACGCCGCGUGUGGGAAGAAGGCCUUCGGGUUGUAAACCACUUUCAGGAGGGAAGAAGCGCAAGUGACGGUACCUCCAGAAGAAGGUCCGGCCAACUACGUGCCAGCCGCCGCGGUAAUACGUAGGGACCGAGCGUUGUCCGGAAUUAUUGGGCGUAAAGAGCUCGUAGGCGGUCUUUUAAGUCGGAUGUGAAAUCUCAGGGCUUAACCCUGAAACUGCACCCGAUACUGGAUGACUUGAGGCAGGUAGGGGAGAUCGGAAUUCCUGGUGUAGCGGUGAAAUGCGCAGAUAUCAGGAGGAACACCGGUGGCGAAGGCGGAUCUCUGGGCCUGUUCUGACGCUGAGGAGCGAAAGCGUGGGGAGCAAAC
rnacentral:rRNA from 1 species